rnacentral:sRNA from 1 species
AAGAGAAGACACAAGAUCCGAGGUACUAGAAGACAGUGUGGGGCUGGACUUGAUGGCAGAGCAAAAAGACUGCCCAGUGCUACCUGUCCCAGUGUGAAAGACGUGCCCUUCAUGAGGACCAGGCCACUGCCUGCCCCCUGUGCACCUGCGCAUCAGCGACAGCUCUGGCGCUCACGACAGAGCCCGGAGCCGGGCUGCUCUUCCUCAUCCCCAGAGGAGGCGAUUAGUUAAAGCAAAAGUUAAAAGAAAAUUAAAGAAAAACAAAUAGACAUUAAAAAACAAAGUCCACAGAGGAUGCUGUGGCUAUCCACAUGGAAAAGAAGAAAGCUGACCCCUGGCUGCCUCCCUAGUCAACACCCACUGAGAGUUGAACAAGAACUGGGCAUUUAUUCGCAACCCCAUAAGCUUACAGGAAUUGAGCUUGAGGUUAGCCUAGGCAACAGAGUAAACUCGAGGCCAGCCUGGGCAGUAUUAGCAAAGUAGUCUCAAAAAGUAAAAACUAAAAGUCAAGGAAAAAAUGCCUAAAUUUUUUAGAUUUAUUUGCUUUUUAUGGAUGAAUGUUUGCCUGCAUGUGUGUCUGUAUAGCAGAUAUAUGACUGGUGUGUGUGGAAUCAAACUCGGGUCCUCUGCAAGAGCAGCCAGUGCUCUAACCACUGAGCCAUCUCUCCAGACGACAUAAUCUUCAUGACCUUGGCUUCAGUAACAGUUUCUUAGAUACAACAACAAAAACACAAGCACAAAAAUUUGGGGUUAUGCUAGAUUCCAUCAAGUUAACAGCAGCUGUGCUUUAAAGGACAUAAGAAGACAAUCUACACAGUAGGAGAAAUUCUCCAAGCCAUGUCAGAAAAAGGACUACCUCUGCAAUAUAGCAAUCUACAAUUCAAUGGAAAUAGGUGCAUUUUUUAGAUGAACCUAACAGUCGAACAGAUAUUUCUCCCAAGAAACUGCAGCUUCCCACUUUGCACAUGAAGAGAUGAAUCUCCACUCGGACAUCGUUAUAUCCUCUAAGACUAUUAAGGUCAAAGGUCAGGUGAUCACAAGUGUGGGUGUGACUCUGGGGUAAGCACUGAAGUGUGAGUGGCUGGGCAAGUGGCUCGCUCAGUGGUUAAGGACAGUUACUACUUUUGCAGAGGCUCCAGGUUUGGUCCCCAGCAAUUGCAUGGUGGCUCACAACCCCAGAGGAGCCAAUGCUCUCUUCUGACCUCCACAUACCCACCAUGCAGAUGUAUGCAGGCAAAAUACACACAUAAAAAAAAAAAAUGGCCAUGCAACUUUGGAAUACCCGUCUGACAGUUUCCUCAAAAGCUUGCCGUGCAGCUACUAUGUGGGCCAGUAGCUGUGAACUUGGUCUUCACACAGAGAUGAGUACAGAGUACUGAUGACAGCCAGUGUAAAACAGCCCAUCUGUACCACAUCACCUGAUGCAUGCUCAAAGCAACAUGGUGCUUACCCAGAGAACAGUGAUCCCACCACAGAAGGGAACAAGGUGCUGAUCUGUCUCCUGAAAGUUCUGUGCUAAGCAAAAGAAGCUUUACAAGAUGUCUCCAGAAAAUGCAAAGCCUGCCAGGUGUGUAGAUAAGGGCUGCUAAGAGGUAAGGGAAGGACCCUGACUCCUCAUAGCAUGGACUUCUUCUCUGGCUAUAGAAAAGUUCUGAGAUUGACAGAGUGUGGUUCCAUACCUAUGUGAGUCUAAAAUCUGAAUUUUACACUUCAAGGGAGACAGGAGUAACAGGUAUAACAGGAGUAACAGGUAUAACAGGAGUAAUAGGAAGGAGUAGCAGGUGUAACAGGAGUACCAGAUGUAAUAGGAGUAACAGGUGUAACAAGAGUUAACAGGAGUAGUAGGUGUAACAAGAGUAACAGGUGUAACAGAAGUAACAGUUGUAACAAGAGUAACAGAUGUAACAGGAGUAAUAGGUGUAACAGGAGUAACAGGUGUAACAGAAGUAACAGUUGUAACAAGAGUAGCAGGUGUAACAAGAGUAACAGGUGUAACAGGUAUAAAAGGUGUAAUAGGAGUAACAGGUGUAACAAGAGUAACAGAUGUAACAAGAGUAACAGGAGUAAUAGGAGUAACAGGUGUAAUAGGAGUAACAGGUGUAACAAGAGUAACAGAUG